rnacentral:lncRNA from 1 species
AGAGAAAGAUGGAGGCAAACAGGGCUCUUCCAUGACCAGGCGUGCUUGACCUCAGAGCUGCGACUCUUCCUUCUUCAGCGCAUUUAUGGAGAGCUUGCUACACGCAGGGCCUGGAGCUGCAGCCUGGGAGGGCGCCCCAUCUGGCGGGUAGAGUGCUUUGCCAUGUCUGGCCCGACUUCUCUACACCCUGUUCACAACUCACCCUGCAACCUUCGUUCCCCGUGUGCUGCCAGCGAUCCCCCUCCAGAAGCCACUCUGUCCGAGGUUCCAAUCACUCCCCUAUUGACACCUAUUCGUUCUCAGCGUUCAAAGAGUACUUCGAUUCCGUUGCUUUUGGGCGCAGAGACUUGAAUCCAGGACCUUACACAGGCAAGGAAUGCACGGCAUUGUGAGCUACCCACACACCCUAAUUGUUCCGCAGAUGAGGGUUCCCCCGCCCCCUGACGAUUUUAUCCCAGGGAGACUAUGAGUGUGUUGGCCUCUGGCGCCAACCUGCCCCCGGAUGUCAAACAUCUGUUCUCAAACUUGGAACCUGAGCUUACUUCUUCAUUCUCUGAUGUUAGACAAGCCGUUCUUCCCAACACCACCCCAAGCGUCCCACUCCCCUUUUUU